rnacentral:rRNA from 1 species
UAGUCCACGCCCUAAACGAUGUCUACUAGUUGUCGGGUCUUAAUUGACUUGGUAACGCAGCUAACGCGUGAAGUAGACCGCCUGGGGAGUACGGUCGCAAGAUUAAAACUCAAAGGAAUUGACGGGGACCCGCACAAGCGGUGGAUGAUGUGGAUUAAUUCGAUGCAACGCGAAAAACCUUACCUACCCUUGACAUGUCAGGAACCUCCGAGAGAUUGGAGGGUGCCCGAAAGGGAACCUGAACAC